rnacentral:rRNA from 1 species
CCUACGGGUGGCAGCAGUGAGGAAUAUUGGUCAAUGGGCGCGAGUCUGAACCAGCCAAGUCGCGUGAGGGAAGACGGUCCUAUGGAUUGUAAACCUCUUUUGUCGGGGAGCAAAAGCCGCCACGUGUGGCGUUCCGAGAGUACCCGAAGAAAAAGCAUCGGCUAACUCCGUGCCAGCAGCCGCGGUAAUACGGAGGAUGCGAGCGUUAUCCGGAUUUAUUGGGUUUAAAGGGUGCGCAGGCGGUAGAUCAAGUGGGCGGUAAAAUUGGGAGGCUCAACCUCUUCGAGCCGUUGAAACUGGUUGGCUUGAGAGUACGAGAAGUAUGCGGAAUGCGUGGUGUAGCGGUGAAAUGCAUAGAGAUCACGCAGAACUCCGAUUGCGAAGGCAGCAUACCGGCGCUCAACUGACGCUCAUGCACGAAAGUGUGGGUAUCGAACAGGAUUAGAUACCCGAGUAGUC